GGUAGCUUGCUACCUGCCGGCGAGUGGCGAACGGGUGAGUAAUACAUCGGAACGUGCCCUGUAGUGGGGGAUAACUAGUCGAAAGACUAGCUAAUACCGCAUACGACCUGAGGGUGAAAGUGGGGGACCGCAAGGCCUCAUGCUAUAGGAGCGGCCGAUGUCUGAUUAGCUAGUUGGUGGGGUAAAGGCCCACCAAGGCGACGAUCAGUAGCUGGUCUGAGAGGACGAUCAGCCACACUGGGACUGAGACACGGCCCAGACUCCUACGGGAG
rnacentral:rRNA from 1 species